rnacentral:rRNA from 1 species
AACGAACGCUGGCGGCAGGCCUAACACAUGCAAGUCGAGCGGACCCUUCGGGGUUAGCGGCGGACGGGUGAGUAACGCGUGGGAACGUGCCCUUUGCUUCGGAAUAGCCCUGGGAAACUGGGAGUAAUACCGGAUACGCCCUUUUGGGGAAAGAUUUAUCGGCGAAGGAUCGGCCCGCGUUGGAUUAGGUAGUUGGUGGGGUAAUGGCCUACCAAGCCGACGAUCCAUAGCUGGUUUGAGAGGAUGAUCAGCCACACCGGGACUGAGACACGGCCCAGACUCCGACGGGAGGGAGCAGUGGGGAAUCUUAGACAAUGGGGGAAACCCUGAUCUAGCCAUGCCGCGUGAGCGAUGAAGGCCUUAGGGUUGUAAAGCUCUUUCACCGGGGAAGAUAAUGACGGUAACCGGAGAAGAAGCCCCGGCUAACUCCGUG